rnacentral:rRNA from 1 species
AUGUCUAAGCACAUGCCUUAAUACGGUGAAGCCGCGAAUAGCUCAUUACAACAGCCAUCGUUUACUAGAAAAUAUUUAUCCUACUUGGAUAACUGUGGCAAUUCUAGAGCUAAUACAUGCAAAAAAGCUCAGACUGAGAGGAAUGAGCGCAUUUAUUAGAAUAAAAACCAAUCGGGUCUAAAAGCCCGCUGUUUGGUGAAUCUGAAUAACUUUGCUGAUCGCACGGUCUAGUACCGGCGACGUAUCUUUCAAGUGUCUGCCUUAUCAACUUUCGAUGGUAGGUUGUACGCCUACCAUGGUAGUAACGGGUAACGGAGAAUAAGGGUUCGACUCCGGAGAGGGAGCCUGAGAAACGGCUACCACAUCCAAGGAAGGCAGCAGGCGCGCAAAUUACCCACUUCCAGAACGGAGAGGUAGUGACGAAAAAUAACGAGACAGUCCUCUCUGAGGUCUGUCAUCGGAAUGGGUACAAUUUAAAUCCUUUAACGAGGAUCUAUUGGAGGGCAAGUCUGGUGCCAGCAGCCGCGGUAAUUCCAGCUCCAAUAGCGUAUAUUAAAGUUGUUGCGGUUAAAACGCUCGUAGUUGAAUCUGCGGCCUGGGAGAAUGGACCCUCGAAAGGGUGGUAACUGUUACUCCUAGCCUAAAUUUUUAGUCUACUCUAUGGUGCCUUUAACCGGGUGCUUAGAGUGACUGGAACGUUUACUUUGAAAAAAUUAGAGUGCUUAAAGCAGGCGAAUUUGCCUGAAUAAGGUGCAUGGAAUAAUGGAAUAGGACCUCGGUUCUAUUUUGUUGGUUUUCGGAGCCUGAGGUAAUGAUUAAGAGGAACAGACGGGGGCAUUCGUAUUCCGGCGCUAGAGGUGAAAUUCUUGGACCGCCGGAAGACGGACGACUGCGAAAGCAUUUGCCAAGAAUGUUUUCAUUAAUCAAGAACGRAAGUUAGAGGUUCGAAGGCGAUCAGAUACCGCCCUAGUUCUAACCGUAAACGAUGACAACCAGCGAUUAGUCGGCGUUAAUAUAUGACCCGACUAGCAGCUUCCGGGAAACCAAAGUUUUUCGUUUCCGGGGGAAGUAUGGUUGCAAAGCUGAAACUUAAAGGAAUUGACGGAAGGGCACCACCAGGAGUGGAGCCUGCGGCUUAAUUUGACUCAACACGGGAAAACUCACCCGGCCCGGACACCGUAAGGAUUGACAGACUGAGAGCUCUUUCUUAAUUCGGUGGGUGGUGGUGCAUGGCCGUUCUUAGUUGGUGGAGCGAUUUGUCUGGUUAAUUCCGAUAACGAACGAGACUCUGGCCUAUUAAAUAGCCGGUAUAUAUUGAAAAGUUUGCCGCGCUUCUUAGAGGGACAACCGGCGUCUAGCCGCGUGAAAUAGAGCAAUAACAGGUCUGUGAUGCCCUUAGAUGUCCGGGGCUGCACGCGCGCUACACUGAAAGAAUCAGUAUGCGCAUUCGCCUAGUUCGGAAGAACCGGGUAACCCUAGCAAAUUCUUUCGUGCUUGGGAUAGGGAAUUGCAAUUAUUUCCCUUGAACGAGGAAUUCCCAGUAAAUGCGGGUCAUAAGCUCGCGUUGAUUACGUCCCUGCCCUUUGUACACACCGCCCGUCGCUACUACCGAUUGGAUGACUUAGUGAGGUCUUAGGACCGAGGUGAUGGAGCUUUCAUUAGUUCUUUUGCUUUGGAAAUUUGAUCGAACUACGUUAUCUAGAGGAAGU